rnacentral:lncRNA from 1 species
CUCCUGCUCUAGUGAUCUGCCCGCCUCUGCCUCCUGAAGUGUUUGGAUUACAGGUGUGAGCUACUGCACCCGGCAACAAGGACAUUUUUAUACAAGCUGAUAGGGCUGUGAAUUCCUGGUUGUAUGAGACAUGAAUUCCUGGUUGCUCCACUCCACCUUUCCAGUGAGUUAAGUGGGCCCUUAGUCUGUGCCUCUCCAUAUUGAUUUAUUUCCCUUAAUGCACAUAUGUUAAGGAACGAAAUUUUCCACUAUGGGCAUGUUUAGGCAAGCUCCCUUAGCAAGUACGCUUAUCCGCACAAAAUAUUUGGUAUAAACACCUGGGGGGUGGGUAAGAGGUUCUCCAGGGGACCCUUUCCUGACUGUCUCCCUAAAGCAAGUUGGCUGACUCCUUUCAUUCCUCCCUUCAGGAGUGGAGACCCCAAAUUCUGUUGGGGAAAGUGUACAACGACUGCUCUUAACUGCUUCCUGCUGACAAGGGGUGCUGUUUUGGGAAAGUGGCAGUUAAGGCUCCUCCUGAGGAUCUUGAGAUGACGUCAUACUGGAUGAUCCUAGUGCACCCUAAAUCCAAUAAGUGUUCUUAUGAAAGACAGAAGAGGAGAAGAUACAGGAAAUAGAAGAAGGCUACUUGAGGAUGGAAGCAGAGCUUGGAGUUAUGCAGCUACAAACCAAAGAAUGCCUUGAGCCACCAGCAGCUGAAAGAGCUAGUCAGCAAUACAACUGGGAUUUGAUAUCAGAUUCAUACGAUUCCGAAGACCCUGACCACCAAAUGCAAAAGGUACAUGGCAACAGCUGAUUGCAAUGAGAGAAAAACAACUAAUAAGGCAACAAGCAGGAUACUAAGAUAUUUUCCAAAAUGAAUAGCACUGAUUCUGUGAGGAAUGAACAUUGCCAAACAAGUGUUUUGUUUUGUUUUUCAACUCCUCUAAAAAAAUUCACAUAUAUGCAUGCCACUUUCCUGAAAAAUAUCUGCCUCAUAAUUGCCAUAAGAAACGGUAUGGACAACUCUUAAACAUUCUGAAAGUAGUCAGGGAUGGGGGAAAGCAUUUGCUGUUUUAGUCUGUUCCUGGUCUUAUAACAAAUACCACAAACUGGGUAAUUUAUGAUUACAGAAAUGUAUUUCUGAAAGUUCAGGAGUUGGGAAGUUCAAGAUUAUGGCACCAACAUAUUCAUUGUCUGAUGAGGGCCUGUUUCAUAGAUGUCAUUUUGCAUGACUUAAUCACAUGGUAGGAAAAGCAAAGGGACAAAAUGGACAAAUGCCAUGUUGUCACAUGGCAGAAGAAAUGGAAGAGCCAGGAAGCUCUCAGAAGCUUCCUUAAUUAGGAUAUUAAUCUCAUUAUGAGUGCACAGCCAUCAUGACUUAAUUGCCUCCAAAGGCCCCACUUCCUCAUCACUUUGAGGAUUAAACUUAAACAUGAAUUUGGAGGAAAUAUAUUCAAACUCUAGGACUAGUUUAAAUGUAGCUAAAAAGGUUUCUUCAUUCUGUAAUCGUUAAUAUGCUAAUAUUUUUGUAAAUAUCCAAGAGGAAGCUAAAGCAUAUAAUAUUCCAAAAUUUAUUUCUGUUUGUGGAUAUUAUGUUUUCCUCUCAUUCUAUCUUAAGAAAUUAGUGUCCUCAAGAAACACUAUAUAGGAUAAUUGUCUUUCAAGUUCAUCAACUACCGGUUCUUGAUUCUUCAGUAGCUAAUCCUAGAUAGUAAUACUUAACAGAUUAUAAAAACUUGGGUGCUGCUAUAUAAAUGCGCUGAAACUCCCAGGGAACCAAACAUAAGGACUUAAAGAGAGAUGUAACUAGGGAUCAUAAUCAUGAAUUUCAGCUGCUUCUCUAUCUUUGUCAGUGAGCAAAUGACCAUACAAAAUAAGGUAUUCAAUUAUUAAUUCUGUGCCCAUAUCCCGGAAUUUUGCCCAAUAUAUUUGUAAGUUUAGAUAAAUAAGGCACUAAUGCCAGGGAUAUGUAGCAUUAGUUCUGGGUUUAUAAAGGGAUAUUCACAACCUCUUGCCAUCCACAGAAUUUAUCAGCCCAAAGUAAACUAUACUCGUUAGUUAAGGGCAACCUGAGACAUGUUUAAAACUGAGGUGGACUGAAGAGUCAACUAAUUGCGGGAAUCUUUUAUUUGGCUGAAAUGUUCAAACAAGUCCCACUCUGAAUUCUAUUAGAAGUCCAUCAUUGGCUUCUCUCUCUUUCUCACUGUCUUAAAUCAUGUAUUUUAUAACACUAUGAAGAAUGAAGUUCAAAAGAAUAAGCUAAAUUUAAUUAAUUAAAUUAUUUAUUUAUUUAUUUUGAGACAGAGUCUCACUCUGUCACCCAGGCCAGAGUUCAGUUGCACGAUCUUGGCUCAGUGCAUCCUUCACCUCCUGGGCUCAAGAGAUCCUCCUGAAGCAGGGUAUUUCCCUGACCCCUUCAUGGGACUCGUGACAGGGGUGCCCCAUUUACUCAGCCCACUGCUCUCAACUCCUCAAGGGAGGGAGUGCGCAAUUGAACAAGGCAGGAACUGGAGUACACGAGUGUUGGAACCAGUGGCCUCUUUGGUGCCAGAAGGAGUGAACUCACCCACUCUGACCUGCUGUGUUCCACCUCUUGCAGGAGAGAGCAUGCAGGUGAGCAGGUACAGGAGCCAGGAAGAGAGCUUUGGGGUGUUGGCAGGAGCAAACUCCAUGUGGGCCCCAUAGCAGCCCCUGGGGUUAGGGGGGUGCCUGUGAUUCCUGAAGCCCCUGUGGGCAUAUUACAGUGCUCCUUUAGCUCUGCCGUCUUCAGACAGCUGAAGUGUUAGCAGCUCAGCAUGCCUUUUUGUAUCCACACUCACUCCUGAGCUCUUGUUUGGCAUCCAGGAAAAAAUCAGCUCACAGAAACGAAUUGAAGGAUGGUAAAUGCAGAGGAUUUUAUUGCCAAGGAAAGUGGCUCUCAGCAGGAAGGGCAGCUGGGAAGGAGAUGUAGCAGGAAGGUUUCUGGCUGGACUCUUCUCCAAAGUUGCACUGUCAAGCUGUCUCUCUGAAAUCAAGCUGCUUCUCUCCAACGUCCAACCGUAGUCUCUGAUGCCCAGCUGCUGCUUCUCUUUUGAUGUUCAGCUGCUUCUCUUUUUUGCUAGCUGAGUCUGGGGUUUUUAUGGGCACAGGAUGGGGGACAGGGGAGGUCAUGGGUAAUUUUGUAAAAGGCAACAUUUGAGUGGGAAAACAGGAAUGUAUGUUCUCACUUUGGGCUUUGGUUCCAGGCUUGAGGGUGGAGCCGUUGCCAGGGACCUGCCCUCUUUUGCCCAGAAUUUCCCUGCCUCCCUUCCCUAUCACUCCCACCCCAUCACUCCCACCUCAACAUCCUGAGUAGCUGGGAUUAUAGGCGCACACCACCGCAUCUGAUUAAUAUUUAAAUUUUUUGUAGAGACAGGGU